rnacentral:tRNA from 1 species
UAGACAGAAGCCAGUUGGCUUAGGCAUUUAGCUGUUAACUAGAAUUUUGUGGGAUCAAGGCCCACCUGUCUAG